CAGUCGCCGCGGUAAUACGUAGGGUGCAAGCGUUAAUCGGAAUUACUGGGCGUAAAGCGUGCGCAGGCGGUUAUAUAAGACAGAUGUGAAAUCCCCGGGCUCAACCUGGGAACUGCAUUUGUGACUGUAUAGCUAGAGUACGGCAGAGGGGGAUGGAAUUCCGCGUGUAGCAGUGAAAUGCGUAGAUAUGCGGAGGAACACCGAUGGCGAAGGCAAUCCCCUGGGCCUGUACUGACGCUCAUGCACGAAAGCGUGGGGAGCAAACAGGAUUAGAUACCCCGCGUAGUCCCUGUCUCUUAUA
rnacentral:rRNA from 1 species